rnacentral:piRNA from 1 species
GUUACAGAAAGAACGCCAGAGACUCAGUGA